UACGUAGGAUCCAAGCGUUGUCCGGAUUUACUGGGUGUAAAGGGUGCGCAGGCGGACUUGUUAGUCAGAGGUGAAAUCUCACGGCUUAACCGUGAAACUGCCUUUGAUACUGCAGGUCUUGAAUUGGGGAGAGAGUUGUGGAAUUCCGAGUGUAGCAGUGAAAUGUGUAGAUAUUCGGAAGAACACCAGUGGCGAAGGCAGCAACUUGGCCCCAGAUUGACGCUCAGGCACGAAAGCAUGGGGAUCAAACAGG
rnacentral:rRNA from 1 species